rnacentral:rRNA from 1 species
CCUACGGGAGGCUGCAGUAGGGAAUCUUCCACAAUGGGCGAAAGCCUGAUGGAGCAACGCCGCGUGGGUGAAGAAGGUCUUCGGAUCGUAAAACCCUGUUGUUAGAGAAGAAAGUGCGUGCGAGUAACUGUUCACGUUUCGACGGUAUCUAACCAGAAAGCCACGGCUAACUACGUGCCAGCAGCCGCGGUAAUACGUAGGUGGCAAGAGUUAUCCGGAUUUAUUUGGCGUAAAGGGAACGCAGUCGGUCUUUUAAGUCUGAUGUGAAAGCCUUCGGCUUAACCGGAGUAGUGCAUUGGAAACGGGGAGACUUGAGUGCAGAAGAGGAGAGUGGAACUCCAGGUGUAGCGGUGAAAUGCGUAGAUAUAUGGAAGAACACCAGUGGCGAAAGCGGCUCUCUGGUCUGUAACUGACGCUGAGGUUCGAAAGCGUGGGUAGCAAACAGGAUUAGAUACCCGAGUAGUC